rnacentral:rRNA from 1 species
UUGAUCCUGGCUCAGAAUCAACGCUGGCGGCGUGCCUAACACAUGCAAGUCGAACGAGAAAGUGGAGCAAUCCAUGAGUAAAGUGGCGACCGGGUGAGUUACACGUGACUAACCUACCUUCAAGUGGGGGAUAACCUCGGGAAACCGGGUCUAAUACCGCAUAACAUCCUUAGAGUGGAAAUUCCGGGGAUCAAAGGAGUAAUUCGCUGGAAGAGGGGGUCGCGGCUGAUUAGCUAGUUGGCGGGGUAAUGGCCCACCAAGGCAGAGAUCGGUAGCCGGCCUGAGAGGGCGCACGGCCAUACUGGAACUGAAACACGGUCCAGACUCCUACGGGAGGCAGCAGUGGGGAUUUUUGCGCAAUGGGGGAAACCCUGACGCAGCAACGCCGCGUGGAGGAUGUAGUCCCUUGGGACGUAAACUCCUUUCGACCGGGACGAUAAUGACGGUACUGGUGGAAGAAGCCCCGGCUAACUUCGUGCCAGCAGCCGCGGUAAUAAGGU